rnacentral:rRNA from 1 species
ACGUAUGCAACCUACCUAUCAUUGGGGGAUAGCCUUUGGAAACGGAGAUUAAUACCGCAUAAGACAGUAACAUGGCAUCAUGUAGCUGUUAAAGCUUUGGCGAUGAUAGAUGGGCAUGCGUCCAAUUAGUUAGUUGGUGAGGUAACGGCUCACCAAGACGAUGAUUGGUAGGGGAUCUGAGAGGAUAAUCCCCCACACUGGCACUGAGAUACGGGCCAGACUCCUACGGGAGGCAGCAGUAGGGAAUAUUGGGCAAUGGACGGAAGUCUGACCCAGCCAUGCCGCGUGCAGGAAGAAGGCGUUAUGCGUUGUAAACUGCUUUUUUAUAGGAAGAAGGAGACCUUGCGAGGUUUGGUGACGGUACUAUAAGAAUAAGCACCGGCUAACUCCGUGCCAGCAGCCGCGGUAAUACGGAGGGUGCGAGCGUUGUCCGGAUUUAUUGGGUUUAAAGGGUGCGUAGGCGGUUUAUUAAGUCAGUGGUGAAAGACGGUCGCUCAACGAUUGCAGUGCCAUUGAUACUGGUAGACUUGAGUUCGUAUGAGGUAGCUGGAAUGGAUAGUGUAGCGGUGAAAUGCAUAGAUAUUAUCCAGAACUCCAAUUGCGUAGGCAGGUUACUAAUACGAUACUGACGCUGAUGCACGAAAGUGUGGGGAUCAAACAGGAUUAGAUACCCUGGUAGUCCACACUGUAAACGAUGAUGACUAACUGUUU